rnacentral:snoRNA from 1 species
GAGAUCGUACUUCUAGGGAUCAGUCCUAUAGUACGUAUCACCAGGACGUCAGUCAACCUGACCCUGGACACCCAGCCGCGAUGAUGAUUAGCACGGUCUAGUCCCGAGCGUGAUUUGGGUUGAUGGCUGUCCGUCUGGUCAGAUUCCUGUUCACAUGACAGAAUCUGCUGGGCACGGGCUCGGCCGCUACCCUGAUCGAUCGUCCAUCUCGUCAAAGGCAUCUCACCAUGCCUAGACCUGUUUGGAGGAACUGACCUGUGCUGAGCGGU